rnacentral:pre_miRNA from 1 species
AUCACCAGGGAACCUUGUUAAAAUGCAGAUUCUGAUUUAGUAAGUCUGAGCUGGGGCCAAGAGUCUGCACUUCUAACAGGCCCCCAGGUGAUCCCAA